rnacentral:rRNA from 1 species
UACGUAGGGUGCGAGCGUUGUCCGGAAUUACUGGGCGUAAAGAGCUCGUAGGUGGUUUGUCGCGUUGUUCGUGAAAAACUCACAGCUUAACUGUGGGCGUGCGGGCGAUACGGGCAGACUGGAGUACUGCAGGGGAGACUGGAAUUCCUGGUGUAGCGGUGGAAAUGCGCAGAUAUCAGGAGGAACACCCGAGUGCGAAAGGCAGG